UCAUGUUAAAUAGAUGUCAGUUGGCUUUUGGCGCUUUUGGCACCAAACAUGCAAUUAGAGCAUGGAAAGUUGAGGAAUUUCUGGCGGGAAAACUUUUAACAAUUGAUAUUCUGUAUGAUGCUAUUAAAUUAAUUAGUUAAAGCUAAUGUAAUGCCUGAAGAUGGGACUAGGAAUCCUACAUAUAGGUCAAGCUUGGCUGUUGGUUUUCUUUUUGCCUUUCUUAGCCCC
rnacentral:misc_RNA from 1 species